rnacentral:rRNA from 1 species
UGUUACCGGUAACUGCGAAUGGCUCGGUAAAUCAUUAUAGUUAUUUGAUAGUGCAACCUACUCGGAUAACCGUAUAACACUAAGCUAAUACGUGCGUAAAUCCCGACUUUUGGAAGGGACGUAUUUAUUAAUUUAUGGCCAACCGGGCUUGCCCGAUCAGCGGUGAAUCAUGGUAACUUGACGGAUUGCAUGGCCUCCGUGCCGGCGACGUGUCAUUCAAGUUUCUGCCCCAUCAUGUGUCGACUGUAGUGUAUUGGACUACAGUGCCUAUAACGGGUAGCGGAGGAUUAGGGUUCGAUUCCGGAGAGGGAGCCUGAGAAACGGCUACCACAUCCAAGGAAGGCAGCAGGCGCGCAAAUUACCCAAUCCCAAUUCAGGGAGGUAGUGACAAGAAAUAACAAUGCUGGGCUUAUUGCUCUGCUUGUGAUGAGAACUUCUUAUCCCUUAUCGAGAAUCCCUUGUGAGCACCUGUGGCACCCCCGCUAAUUCUCUCUCCUAUAGCAUAUGUGUGUUGUGGCGAUAAAAAAGCCCGUA